UAGACAUUUCUUCAUAUUUUCUCAGCCAAAACGCCAUAGAAGGUCUGGAGAAAGCUUGUUUUUCAUAUUUUUACAUCAUAUCAAGAAUCCAAAGAAGAACGAGGAAAAGAAAAAAGUUGCGGAAUAGUGCCUAAAUUUCAAUAUCUUCUACAAAUUAGCCGGAUUGACUUGAAGUGAAGUGGGUAGAUCGGAUCAACACAACAAAGUACACUAUCCAGAUCAAUUCCGGUAGCUUUUGUUUUAUAUUUGAAGAUUUAUAUGGCAUGUAUAGAGUUUAAAUGAAAUGAAGUAAAGAUGUUAUAAACUAGUUAACAACAUUUUGUACUAAAAUAGUUUUUGGUUAGUAGCAGUAGUCUGAGUUUGAAAAUUCACCAUAAAUCAUAAAAAUAUAAUUAUAGGUUGAAUAAAAUAUGAAAUUAAAUCUUAUUGAAUCUAGUUUCACAUAGAAGAAA